UACGUAGGGUGCGAGCGUUAAUCGGAAUUACUGGGCGUAAAGCGUGCGCAGGCGGUUUUGUAAGCCAGAUGUGAAAUCCCCGGGCUUAACCUGGGAAUGGCAUUUGGGACUGCAAGGCUGGAGUGCGGCAGAGGAGACUGGAAUUCCUGGUGUAGCAGUGAAAUGCGUGGAUAUCAGGAGGAACACACGAUGGCGAAGGCAGGUCUCUGGGCUGACACUGACGCUCAUGCACGAAAGCGUGGGGAGCAAACAGG
rnacentral:rRNA from 1 species